AGCUUUGUGCAGUGGCAGUAUCGUAGUCAAUGAGGUUUAUCCGAGGUGCGAUUAUUGCUAAUUGAAAACUAAAAUAUGUAAGUAUAUAUUUAUUUAUUUGGCCAUGUCG
rnacentral:snRNA from 1 species